CUCUGAGAGUGUUUAUAGUGCUGUGAGUUUAACACUUCAUCACUGACACACACAACAAUCUUCAUCAACAUGACCUUCAUCAUCAUCUUCAUCUGGACUCUUUCAUACUGCUUUAUACUACAAGGGUGUAAAGCUCAGAUCACAGUCACUCAGACUCCAAUGAAAGCUGUCACACCAGGAGAAACUGUUGUGAUGAGCUGUAAACUCAGUACUCCUGCACCCUGCAGCCCAAACCCCUGUGUGUCCUGGUACUUACAGAAACCUGGAGAAGCUCCUAAACUCCUGAUUUAUUAUACAAGCAGCCGUCAGUCAGGAACUCCAUCUAGAUUCAGUGGCAGUGGAUCUAACAGUGAUUUCACUCUGACCAUCAGUGGAGUCCAGACUGAAGAUGCUGGACAUUAUUACUGUCAGAGUUACCACUGGAUCAACAGUAAAGAUGUGUUCACACAGUGAUUGUGAGUUGUACAAAAACCUGUGUCAGUCAGAGUCACAGUGACUGAACUGAUGCUGCAGCUGAUCAAACACUAUCACUCACUACUGACACACAGAGACCAAACACAGAACUACACAUGAGCUCACAACUGA